rnacentral:rRNA from 1 species
AGGAUGAACGCUAGCGGCAGGCCUAAUACAUGCAAGUCGAACGAGAUUGAAGAGCUUGCUUUUUCAUGAAAGUGGCGCACGGGUGCGUAACGCGUAUGCAACCUACCUUAAUCAGGGGGGAUAGCCUCUCGAAAGAGAGAUUAACACCGCAUAAAAUCACAAGCUGGCAUCAGCAAAUGAUCAAAUAUUUAUAGGAUUAAGAUGGGCAUGCGUGACAUUAGUUAGUUGGUGAGGUAAUGGCUCACCAAGACGAUGAUGUCGUAGGGGAUCUGAGAGGAUCGACCCCCACACUGGUACUGAGACACGGACCAGACU